rnacentral:rRNA from 1 species
AUGGAGUCCAGCACGCCGCCGACGCCGCUACCGGAUCAACGAGGCUCUGAUGCCAAUUGUUGGCGCCGCCUCCUCUCGCAGCGGCCGCCGCCUCCUCGCAGCGCUGCUUCUUCUUCUACCUCUUGCUGCCUCUCACCGCUCAACUCUCUUUGUCUCACACAAGAACACACAUACAUGGUGAAACUCAGUAAACACACACGCACACAGCCAAGGAAGAAACCCAACGAGGCUUUGCCCACAACACUCUUCCUUGGUGCACACAAAGACUACAUUUCUUCUACAGCCCUCACGGCCUACUUCUCAUUCAUCUGA